ensembl:misc_RNA Metazoa_SRP Metazoan signal recognition particle RNA
GCCAGGCAUGGUGGUGCAUGCCUAUAGUCCCACUACUUGGGAGGCUGAGGCAGGGGGAUUGCUUGAGCCCAGGAGUUUGAGGCUGCAGGGAGUUAUAAUUGUAUCACUGCACUUCAACCAGGGCAACAGAGCAAAACCCUGUCUCAU